AACGGCUGCGGGGACAAGUCCGUUGAGGCUGCCAGGCGAGUCAGGCCUUUCUGGACCUCGCCUGACUCGGAUGGGCUGUGCCUGAAAUUGACCCAGCUCCACUAGGGAUUAUGAAGAAACAAGGAGUAAACCCAAAGCCGCUGCAAUCUUCCCGCCCCAGCCCGUCUAAGCGGCCGUACGGGGCCUCCCCCGCCCGGGAGCUGGAGGUGGAAAAGUCGGCCCUAGGCGGCGGGAAACUGCCAGGGGGCGCCAGGAGGUCCUCCCCGGGGAGGAUCCCAAAUCUGAAAAAGCGAAAAGGCUUGGAGCUAAAGGUGGUGGCCAAGACCCUUCUCGACCCCUUCCAGUUCGUCCGUAAUUCCCUGGCGCAGCUCCGGGAAGAGGUGCACGAACUGCAGGCGCGGUGGUUCCCCAGCAGAACCACUCUCAGCAUCGCCAUCUUUGUGGCAAUUCUACAUUGGUUACAUUUAGUAACACUUUUUGAAAAUGAUCGUCAUUUCUCUCACCUCUCAUCUUUGGAAUGGGAGAUGACUUUUCGCACUAAAAUGGGACUUUAUUAUUCCUACUUCAAGACCAUCAUUGAAGCACCUUCAUUUUUGGAAGGACUGUGGAUGAUUAUGAAUGACAGGCUUACUGAAUAUCCUCUUGUAAUUAAUACAGUAAAACGCUUCCAUCUUUAUCCAGAGGUAAUCAUAGCUGCCUGGUAUCGCACAUUCAUAGGAAUAAUGAAUUUAUUUGGACUAGAAACUAAGACCUGCUGGAAUGUCACCAGAAUAGAACCUCUUAAUGAGUUCAAAGCUGUGAAGGCAUGUUUCCUCCAAAAAUGCUGUCAUUUGUAAACAUUCAUAAACAUUUAAUAAUAUUAUGAUUCACUUUUAAGAAUUAUUGUAAAAUUCUGUUGUUGAUUUAAAAAACAUUAGAACUGACUCACCUCAAUGAGUAUUUUUACAUUUUAAAGUAGUUUUCUGAGAAGGCUGUGUACUUAAAAAUUUGAGUAUAAAUUUUGGAAUUUGAGUAUUAACGUAUCCCAUUGUAAGGCAAUCUUGACUAUAAGUUAGUCUUCUAUUUCAGAAUGAGAAGAUACAGAAAGAUGUUUUUUGGGGUAGCUUCAAUAUAUAAAUUUUGAGGAUACAUUAAAUAGUCAAAUAUCUAUUUGUAAUAGCUAAUGUAUAAAUUUAAUUAUGCAUACAUAUUUGAAAAUUGGAUAUGCCAUAAUAGAUUGAUUUAGAAAUAUUACUUUUUUAUAUAUGCUCAUAGUCCAUGAGUAGUAUUAAUAAAACUCUUCCUAUUUAUCUUC
rnacentral:lncRNA from 1 species